GUGGUGCAUGGUUGUCGUCAGCUCGUGUCGUGAGAUGUUGGGUUAAGUCCCGCAACGAGCGCAACCCUCGUUCUAUGUUGCCAGCACGUAAUGGUGGGAACUCAUGGGAUACUGCCGGGGUCAACUCGGAGGAAGGUGGGGAUGACGUCAAAUCAUCAUGCCCCUUAUGUCUUGGGCUUCACGCAUGCUACAAUGGCCGGUACAAAGGGCUGCAAUACCGCGAGGUGGAGCGAAUCCCAAAAAGCCGGUCCCAGUUCGGAUUGAGGUCUGCAACUCGACCUCAUGAAGUCGGAGUCGCUAGUAAUCGCAGAUCAGCAACGCUG
rnacentral:rRNA from 1 species